rnacentral:tRNA from 1 species
UAGCGCGGGGUAGAGCAGUUUGGUAGCUCGCAAGGCUCAUAACCUUGAGGUCACGGGUUCAAAUCCUGUCUCCG